UGAGGAAUCUUCCGCAAUGGGCGCAAGCCUGACGGAGCGACGCCGCGUGAAGGAUGAAGGCCCUUACGGGUCGUAAACUUCUGUUCUGAGGGACGAAAUUUUUGACGGUACCUCAGGAGAAAGUAUCGGCAAACCCUGUGCCAGCAGCCGCGGUAAGACAGGGGAUACAAGCGUUACUCGGAAUUACUGGGCGUAAAGCGUCUGUAGGUGCUUUGGUAAGUCUGUGGUAAAAGCUCGGGGCUCAACCCCGAGAGCGUCAUGGAAACUACCGAAGUUGAGCAGUAGAGAGGCAUCUGGAAUGCCGCAUGUAGGAGUAAAAUCCGUAGAUAUGCGGUAGAACGCCAAAAGCGUAAGGCAGGAUGCUAGCUACUUGCUGACACUGAGAGACGAAAGCGUGGGGAGCGAAGCGGAUUAGAUACCCCCGUAGUCCCUGAGCGGGCUGGCAAGGCGCAU
rnacentral:rRNA from 1 species